UUUCCCAGUUUUCUUUUCAACUCGAUUAUUCUUAUUAUUAUCGUCAUCAUCAUCAUCAUCGUUUUCUUCCUCAUCUUCCUCUUCUUCCUCAUCAUCAUUUUCUUCCUCCUCUUCUUCUUCCUCUUCGUCGCCAACAUCUGGAACCAACAUAUGUUUUCUAUUCAAAUCUGUUUCUGAGACGGAAUUUAGACCAUCCAAAAGUUGCUUAGCUUCGUGAUCCCUAAUAUGACCUUCAGGAAGUUUAUAUGUAUAGAAUGCAACAGCAACUCUCUUUCUAACCUCCAUCAUAAUAGUAUUUGUUAAAUGAAGAGCUGAAUAAUAUAGAAAAUGGCUAACUCCAUUAUAAGUCUUAGCAUUUGAUGCAAGUCGUUCUAAAUACUUUUCCAAUUUGUGUAAGGAGGUGAAUUCUCUCUUUUUUGCAAACUGUCGAAUAUGUUGCAAGCAAACAGGUUUUGAAAUAAUCUGGUAAUAGUCUGGGAAAAUAGUCUGUGAUGGAAGGGAUAUAUAAGCCUCAUAUUCUGGAAUCUUCAUAGCCAUGUCACAAGCUUGUAAAAUAGCAUCAUUUAAUGAUUCCCUUCUAUAUUCUAUUUCCUCUGGAGUGAUUUGUUCUUCAUUUAAAUCUUCCAAUUCAUUCCCGGUACCCAAUGUUGAACUUAUAGUACCAAUUUCAAGUUCUUUCCCUAUUUGAGAGCCAUCACCUGUUGUAUCUUUAGAAACAUUAAUUGCUUUCAUAUUACUAGUAACUUCAAACAUUGAUUUCCUAUUUCUUGCAAAUUCUAAAUCUGAUCUUUCUCCUAAACUUACAAUAGAAUCCAUUUCUUCUAACUC
rnacentral:antisense_RNA from 1 species